rnacentral:misc_RNA from 1 species
CAGGGAAGAUAACCAAUUUGAUUUCUGAAAAGAAAAAUUUCUUUCUGGAUUACCCUCGUUAUUUGCUGAACGAGUUAAGAAACAGAUUAGGGAUAAACAUGAUGGGUCCCUACCUUAUAAUCAUUAUACUUUUGGUGAAUUAGCGUCAGAAGUAGUCACUGCAGGGUUAACACUAUGCAAUGAAUUAAGACUUCAGCGCCAAUUACACAAGGAACGAAUCACAGGUAAAAGAAUACUUGGUGAUUUCUGUGAACAAUAUGGUUUACCUCCAGUAACUUUUCCUAAUAAAGGCAAAGUUAAAAAAUCCGGGAGAGAGAGUAAGAGAAGGUUUAAAAAACAUAGAACCUUUUACCCUCAGUCGAGUAAAAGAAGUAAGAAACCUGUCAAAAGUAAACCAGUAACUUCUUCUAAAAAGAAGAAAACAGUCAAAAAAGAGACUAACGUAGUCUGUUACAAAUGUGGAAAAGCUGGUCAUUACGCUAAUAAGUGUAGAGUAAAACAACAGAUACAAGCUCUAGAAAUUAAUGAUAAUCUUAAA